UAUGAUGUUCUACUGGAAUUUCUUUUCUCUUCCUCCUACCGGCUCAUGCUAAUACUAUAUGCUAGAAAUCAAGGCCAAAAAUUUGCUUUACACAAGUGUAAUCCCUCUGCAGGUACCUAUCGUGGCUUCCACUGGUGGUUUGGUUGACACUGUGGAAGAAGGCUUUACAGGAUUCCAGAUGGGAAGCUUCAGUGUUGACGUAAUAUACUCAUCUCCAUCCUAUAAUUCUAGAGUAAUUCCAAGGAUACCACUUGAUUCAACUGUAAUUUCUGUUUUUAUCAUUGAUCAAUUUCUUUCAGUGUGAGGCUGUGGAUCCAGUAGAUGUGGCUGCAGUGUCCACAACCGUCAGAAGAGCUCUUGCAACCUAUGGUACUCAAGCUUUGGCUGAAAUGAUGAAAAAUGGCAUGGCUCAAGAUCUUUCAUGGAAAGUGAGUAUUGGAACUGUGCAAGAAGAAGACUCUUUAAUUUAGUGGCUUCAGUUGAAACCUGUCUUUUCAAUUCGUUCAAAAGAUAUCUGAGCUGAUAUGUUUUUUAAUGGGACAGGGACCAGCUAAGAAAUGGGAGGAGACCCUACUUAACCUGGAAGUUGCUGGUAGUGAACCUGGAAUUGACGGCGAAGAAAUUGCUCCUCUUGCCAAGGAAAAUGUGGCCACUCCUUGAUCGAGGCUACAAAAAUCUCCACUUUUAUUUUGGACCGCAAACAUGUUCCUGUAAUUCUCC
rnacentral:lncRNA from 1 species